UCGGGAAAGCAGCCUCCCGUCCCGCAAGGGUAGACGGUGUCCCGUCCAAGAGCUGG
rfam:Comamonas testosteroni CNB-2, complete genome.